UACAGAGGAGCCAAGCGUUGUCCGGAUUGACUGGGCGUAAAGCGCACGCAGGCGGAUGCGCGCGUGGGGUGUGAAAUCUGGCCGCUUAACGGCCAGGCGCCAUCCCAUACGGCGCGACUCGAGCCAUGCAGAGGGCGGUGGAAUUGCCGGUGUAGUGGUGAAAUGCGUAGAGAUCGGCAGGAACACCCAGGGGGGAAACCAGGUCGACUGGGCAUCGUACUGACGC
rnacentral:rRNA from 1 species